UCAAAGCACUUUACACUACAAGUCACAUUCACGCUUUCACACACACACACACACACACACACACACACUCCCCUCACACGCUGACAACACAGUGGCAGGGGGGUUGAACCACCGACCUUCUGGUUAGUGGACGGCCUGCUCGCUUCUCUUUCAGAUAAUGGAACAACCCUUUCAACACACUGGUUAAUAAUCUUCAGCUCCAAACUUCCUGUUUUCUCCCUCUUUAAUGUUUCUCAUGAGAAUUGACACGCUCAUCUCGUAAUCCUGUGGAAUGUGUAUUAAGUGUAUUAAGUGCACACACACACACACACACACACACACACACACACACACACACACACACACACACACACACAUAUAUAACCAACCAAUCUCCAAAUGGAGAUUUCUAUAGACUUGCUUUUAUGUGAUCUUCUUUUUAUAUUGUUUUUUAUACAGAUAUGUGACCUGAAAACCGUAUUAUUGUUGGAAUGCUGACUUCAAUUGUCUGUGAUUUGUAUGUUUCUGUGAAAGCACUUUGUAAAACUACUUCUGAAAGGUGCUAUAUAAAUACAAUUAUUAUUAUUAUCGUUAUGAAUUAAAAACAUAGAGCAGCAUUAAAUGUAAAGUGCUGAUUCAGUAAAAAUGUGUAUACAUGUGAUAGAAAACAACAACAUACAAUGGGGUAAAAAGCAGCGUUAUAGGAAUGAAAUAACUCCAGAAGAGGGCGGUAAUGCAACGUAAAGGAUGCAAGCUGCCCCUUAAAAGCCCGCGGCGAAGAAGAGCUUCUGCCACGGACGGGACAAGCGCAAAUAUCGUCUUGGAGAAUUGGCGUAGUCACGUCAAAAACGGACGAAGUGAUCUGGUUAUUGGCCAACGAGAGACUUAGGAUAACGGAAGUCAUACGUAUUUAUGAAGUCGGCGGUCCAAAAAUGAUGCAUGAGUCACGUGAUGAAUACAUAACUGACGUUGCGCAAACAUCACUGGCACGUAUAGUCGACACCCCCCCGACACAUGACGCUACUCUGCUCAUUACCGACGCGUAUUAGUAGUGACGUAUGUGAAACGUGAGCCAGGGGGCGUGUCCUUUGGAUGGCGCUAGUUCACGUUUGCAGCGGGGGUGCAGGGAACCAGGCAUGCAGUCGACUCCGAGGCAAACGAGGAGUAGAGAUGGCACUACGGAACUUGCUGACCGACUGCAACCAAACGUUUCGACAUUGUGCGCCGUUAGCCACAUCGGACCACGAUGAGACGAGACGAGCGUCUUUGGCAAGCGGGCAGCAGCAUGAUCCAGAGCAGGAGCUGAAUCACAGUCACCAUAUUGUGAAGUAAGUGUUGAACCGACCAGCCCUGAACCGGUGACCAGCAGCAGUCCUUUCCACGACCAUUCAGCUUUGCCACACGCAGGAAAAGAAUCUUAGCACCCCCCAUCACAGAAAUCCCGUUCCCCUCUAUCUAAUUGACUCUCUGCCUAUUUUAAUUCGUUGAUCAUCCUCCAGCUUCAGCCUUGUUUUAGCUCAAUUUAAUGAUUAGGAACUAUACAAUAAAGAUAUUUCUUAUACAACA